CCUACGGGAGGCAGCAGUGAGGAAUAUUGGUCAAUGGGCGCGAGCCUGAACCAGCCAAGUAGCGUGAAGGAUGACUGUCCUACGGGUUGUAAACUUCUUUUGUCAGGGAGCAAUUGGGUCCACGCGUGCGCUUAUCGAGAGUACCUGAAGAAAAAGCAUCGGCUAACUCCGUGCCAGCAGCGGCGGUAAUAUGGAGGAUGCGAGCGUUUUCCGGAUUUAUUGGGUUUAAAGGAUGCGUGGGCGGAAUAUCAAGUCAGCGGUAAAAAUCCGGGGCUCAACCCCGUCGUGCCGUUGAAACUGGUGGUCUUGAGUGGGCGAGAAGUAUGCGGAAUGCGUGGUGUAGCGGUGAAAUGCAUAGAUAUCACGCAGAACUCCGAUUGCGAAGGCAGCAUACCGGCGCCCAACUGACGCUGAAGCACGAAAGCGUGGGUAUCGAACAGGAUUAGAUACCCUUGUAGUC
rnacentral:rRNA from 1 species